CCUACGGGAGGCAGCAGUGAGGAAUAUUGGUCAAUGGGCGAGAGCCUGAACCAGCCAAGUCGCGUGAAGGAUGAAGGAUCUAUGGUUUGUAAACUUCUUUUAUAUGGGAAUAAAGUGAGGAACGUGUUCCUUUUUGUAUGUACCAUAUGAAUAAGCAUCGGCUAACUCCGUGCCAGCAGCCGCGGUAAUACGGGGGGUGCAAGCGUUGUCCGGAAUCAUUGGGCGUAAAGAGUUCGUAGGUGGCACGUUAAGUCUGGUGUUAAAGGCGGAAGCUCAACUUCCGUAGGGCACUGGAUACUGGCGAGCUUGAAUGCGGUAGAGGUAAAGGGAAUUCCUGGUGUAGCGGUGAAAUGCGUAGAUAUCAGGAGGAACAUCGGUGGCGUAGGCGCUUUACUGGGCCGUAAUUGACACUGAGGAACGAAAGCCGGGGUAGCAAAUGGGAUUAGAUACCCCAGUAGUC
rnacentral:rRNA from 1 species